GCGAGCGGAGAGGAGGCGGCGCGGAGGCGGAGCCGUCCUGGAUGCUGCCGCCUGGAGCGCUCCAGAGACCACUACCAAGGUUUGGAUGUCGCCUCUGGGCCCUGUGGUCCCUUCGCAGACCACCACGCUAGUGCGCGCCCCUGUCAGAACUCAGAUGGAACAAGUCGCCAUCUCUUCCCUCAGAAUUCCUAUUCUAGGAGCUGGCCCCCAACUACCACUCCGUGAAAAGAGAGCCCCAUGGGUGCCACAGCUUUUGACUAGUGGCGGGGGGAAAAAAAAAAAAAAAAAAAAAAACCAUCAAAUGCCCUCGCAGGCCAGAACAUCCUAACCUGAGGACUCAGCCAUCCUAGGAGUAGGGACGGAGGUCAGUGAGGACCUCCCUGAGAAGUGACGCUGAACAGUGGCUUGAAGAGGAUGGGCAGAGUGGAUAGUGAGAGAGAGAGAGAGAAAGGUCUUCCUUUGCCGUUGGUUCACCCUCCAAUGGUUGCUGCGGCCGGCACAUCGCGCUGAUCCCAAGGCCGGCGCCGGCCCCAGCUAGUACACUUGCAUCCCACAUUGGAUGGAGUAUUUGAGUUUGGUUCCUGGAUCCUGCUCCUGACUCCACUUUCAGCUCUUUGCUAUGGCCUGGGAAAGCAGAAGAUGGCCCAAGUCCUUGGGCCCCUGCACCCGCGUGGGAGACCCGGAGGAGGCUCCUGGCUCCUGGCUUCGGAUCGGCACAGCUCUGGCUGUUGCAGCCAGUUGGGGAAUGAACCAGCAGAUGGAAGACCUUUCUUUCUCUCUCUGCCUCUCCUCUCUCUGUGUAACU